CGGGGCUGGCUGCAUUACGUCAGCGGGAAGCUGUGAAUGCAGCGAAGCAGCAGCAGCAGCGGGAGGAGGACAGGACAGGUGGAGCGGAGACAAAGCGGAACGCACAGUCACAGAAGCACUUCAGUUUAGCAUCCUAAAUGAACGAGAACCCACCACCUUAUCCUGGGCCAGGCCCAACUGGUCCAUAUCCAGCUUAUCCACAACAGUAUGGUCCAGGCCCUCAUGCUGCUUACCCUGGUUACCCACCUCCUCCAGGAGGGCAGCCUGUAUAUCAAGGUUAUCCACAGUAUGGCUGGCAGAAUGUACCUCCUCAACCAGGAAUGGUUUACGCAGAUGCUCCAAAAAACACAGUUUACGUUGUAGAAGACCGCAGAAGGGAUGACACUGGAGAUACAUGCUUGACAGCAUGUUGGACUGCCCUCUGCUGCUGUUGCCUUUGGGAUAUGUUGACUUAAAGUCCCACAACUACAUGGAAAUUCCCCACGUACCAGACUUACUUGCUGUUUGACCUUCAAAUCGAAGCUCAAAUACCAACCUACUAUUUUUUCCAAAUGAUGCCUGUUAAAGAUUUCUGUUUGUUGGUCACAUAAUGCCACUAGCUUAGUAAUUGAAUAACUGGAUGGCAAGUUCUGUCAGUGUGGUGCGAUGUCUUAUGAUGGCCUGCCCAAAUAAUGAGCAAAUGUUAAUUUAUGCAGAUAAUCUUUUUUAAACAAGCUAAAAGUUCCAAAGGAUUCACUUUGAUACUUACGAAAAUAGGUGCAACUUAACUUCUUUUUCUGACUUAUGUAAAAUGAGUCCUAAUAUUUCUUGUGGAACUUGAAUUGCUAGAAAUAGAGAAAGUAAAGUAAAAAUUGCUGUGUUUUAGUUUAUUAUACUAUUGGAACUGUAUAUUCCACAUUAAAGAUAAAACUUUUCAAUUA